GUGCUCGCUUCGGUGGCAUAUAUACUAAAAUUGGAACAAUACAGAGAAGAUUAGCAUGGUGCCUGUGCAAGGAUGAUAUGCAAAUUCAUGAAGCAGUCCAUAUUUUU